rnacentral:rRNA from 1 species
CAGCAGCCGCGGGAAUACGAAGGGGGCUAGCGUUGCUCGGAAUCACUGGGCGUAAAGCGCACGUAGGCGGAUAUUAAGUCAGGGGUGAAAUCCCAGAGCUCAACUCUGGAACUGCCUUUGAUACUGGGUAUCUUGAGUAUGGAAGAGGUGAGUGGAAUUCCGAGUGUAGAGGUGAAAUUCGUAGAUAUUCGGAGGAACACCAGUGGCGAAGGCGGCUCACUGGUCCAUUACUGACGCUGAGGUGCGAAAGCGUGGGGAGCAAACAGGAUUAGAUACCCCUGUAGUCCCUGUCUCUUAUACA